UGUCUUUCAUUCAGAAAGAAAUCAAAUCACAACCCCAGCCAAAAAACCCUAGCACUUUAAGCCUACACCACCGCCGCAAGGAGUGGCAUACUGCCGCGUCCGUCGUACUCAAAGUUCGCCAUCCGUCCGUCUAUCUAGCUUCCCUCGUGAUCCAAGUCUUCAACCCCUGUUCGCUGUCACCGAUCGCGGCUGCUUCCUCGAGCUCGGCGUCCGUCGUCUUUGUCUGCUUAGCCGCGCUUCCAUCGCCGUUUGUUUGCCGUUCACGUUCACGUCUUCGUUCGCGUUCUUCGCCGUUCACGUUCGCUCGGCGUUCACUGUUCGCUGUUCGCGUUCAAUCGCCGUUCACCGUUCGAGUUCGCAUUCGUGUUCGUCUGGAAACCACGUUUCUCUGCUUCAAACACCGCGACCAACCCGCGCGCCCACCUAGCUGUCGAACUGCUCUCUUUUGUCGCCGCCGUGAGUUCCCUAAACCUGCCACCAGACAAUACCCUCACACAACACCAAUACUCUGCUUCAAACUCUGCAACUUCUGAUUUCUAUUACAACAAGUAUAGGAUGCAUCCAGAGAUAUGCAAAUCCUCUGCACUGAAUUUUGAUGACAAUCAAAGCACAAAAUAGGAGCCAAUUGUCUUGCAAAUCAGCACCAUUUUACUAGACCAAGUGUCUUGGCCUUUAUGUAUUCUGUAUCACUGAUUUGAAAAUAGCUUAAGAAGAUCAGGGAAGUCGUUGCUGUGAGAGAAAUGGCAGAAGCAAGUGCCCUUCGCAG